rnacentral:ncRNA from 1 species
AGCAGCCGCGGUAAGACGGGGGGGCAAGUGUUCUUCGGAAUGACUGGGCGUAAAGGGCACGUAGGCGGUGAAUCAGGUUGAAAGUGAAAGUCGCCAAAAACUGGCGGAAUGCUCUCGAAACCAAUUCACUUGAGUGAGACAGAGAAGAGUGGAAUUUCGUGUGUCUUUUAAGAGAAGGGUGAAAUCUCGAAAUCUACGAAGGAACGCCAAAAGCGAAGG